rnacentral:tRNA from 1 species
GGGCAGGUAGCUUAGUGGCCUAGAGCAAUAGUCUGUGGAACUAUGAUCGCGGGUUCGAAUCCCGUUCUGCCCA